rnacentral:lncRNA from 1 species
UUUUUUUUUUUUUUUUUUAUCGUUUUUAUCCCAAAGACCGGAUUGAAAGCUUGAACCAACCUGAUAGAGCCAUAUUUUUUGUUCUCUAGUUCUGCGAAGGUAUUAGAAGCAGGGAGCCUCUCCCAGGUUAGAGACCUUCUCAGGCUGGUAUAUGCUCAGAGACUGGCAACAGCAUUGGCUUAGAACAAGAAAGAAUGUUGGGAAUCACAUAAUGGCCCUGUGGACCGGAGUGCUGCUCAAAUGCAAAACGUCCCCAUUCCCCCAUGUCCCAAGGCCUCCAUCCCAAGAAAGGACAAGGCUUUUCCCCCUCAGUCUUGGCACCAGAAAGUAGAGAGGUUUCCUGUCGUGAACUGCACACCCCUUGAGAGGCAGAGCCCAGAGCUUCAUGCGUAGGCCUGUCUGGGCCCUCGCUCCCAGAACCAUAGGACUUCAUCCUCCGAUCCAGCUGUUCAUUCCUGCCUCCAGCCCCUUAGGGAUCAUCAUACCCGUUUUAGAGAUGGAACCUCAAGGUACCAAGUGGUCAGAGGAUUAUCUGAUAACAGCUGUGGAAUAGCAGGGGCUGCCUCCUACCUCUCGGGUCAGGGCCCUGUGGCCUGCCCACUGGUGAGGGUACUCGGGGUGUCACAGCGUACUAUCAGGUUUUGCCCUCCAAUGCAGCAUACCAUUGUGAACCUGUUUCUAGGUUUGACAGUCCCUGCUAUCCUGCACCUUGACCCAGCUGCUCCCCAAGGAAACAGAUCCGUGUGAACCUUUGCCAGUGCUCCUCUGGACACACGAAGCCCCGCACAGCUGGCUAGGCAGCCAGUGAAGCUCAGCUGAACUCAGAGCAGAGGGACUGGGGUCUCACGAGCUUCACAGGACGUGGUCCUUUACUGGUCAGAACAGGCCCCAGUGCCCCGAAGGCUCGAGUGUCUGGAGGUCAGCCCCCAGCCUGGAAGCCAGCCCUGUGGAUCAUGAGUCCAGCUCUGCAUUGUCUAAGAGCCUGCCCCCUGCAGACAUACACGCAGCAGAGAUGCACACAUCUCAGAGCUGAAGAGGCUACAACGCGGUGGAAGGUGCCCCAGAAUGGACCAGUCCCCCUGUAGUUUAGCAGGGAGUGUGUCUGUCACCCUAGGAAGCAGGGCCUCACCCAGCUCCUUGGCCUUCACGCCAGCCUGCAGGGCAGUUUACAGUUCUGGACACACCUCUGCCCUCACAGCACCUGUGUGAACAGGCUUAACAGCAACCAUAUGGAAGCUUCUGCACCCCAAGGGAUGCCCAUCUUCUGAGUCUGAGUCUGUACCCCUUUUGCUUGCUACUCUGAAAUAUACCACUCUGUGAAAAGCCUUUAAUUUGGGAAUUGUCAAAGAUGAGUAUUCUAGUCUUUGUUGGAAACAAAUUCACUUGAUGCAUAACCCACAUACUUAGCUCUUGUGCCGGCACAUGCCCCCUAGCCCCGAGGUCGCCACGCUGUGCUGGCUUCCUGAAGCAGGCCAGUGAUGGGUCCUGGUGCCUUUCCCAGAGCGAGAACAAGUAGAAACAGCUACAGAAAUUUGAAAUCUCAAUCUUUCCUACUACCUGCGCCUGCUUGUAUACAUUUGUCGCAACUUCAUGAGGUAGCAAAAGGGUUGAAUGAAACCAAGAGCUUUCUUACCGAGUCAGACUGGCUUCCCGAAGAUGCCACGCCAUGGACCAUCUCACAGAAUGUCGUCAGCCAGGCUGAGGACAGCAACUCUGUGUGGAGGUUGUCCAUUCUGGCUUUUUCUUUUCUUUUUCCUUCUUUCCCUUAAAACUCAGUGAGCUGCAAACAUCCUCAUGUACCAAGUACUGAUUAACCAUGUGAAGACGGCAUGAAUUUUGUGCUGUCACGUGCUGGCUCCUGGUUCUUCCUAGGAGUUGAUGCUGCAGAUGAUGCUCUCCAGGCACAAAGGGACACAGGCCUGGCCAACUCUUCUGAGGCUGUCCCCUUAACUGGCCACACGUGAAGUAGCUCCACAUUUUGGUUUUGGUGACACAUAACCCAGGAAAGCAAGGAGAAUGUCAACCCAUUUCCAUUUCGUUAUCCUCAAAUAAAAGGACCAGAAGCUUCUAUGUGAAAUUAACACCUAGAUCCGCAAGCCUUCAUUCCUCAUCUGAAACCUGCCCAAACAGUUCAGUGUCAGGUGAGGCAUUAGCCAUAGAACAAAACUCAGACCCACAGAGGGGAAAUGGUGAUCUUGUUUCCCAGGGAGUAAAUCCAGAUUGCUUUCUGUGGGGCUGGUUCAUGCUGUGACCAAGUGACAGCGUGCUUAAUCCUGGGCUUGCGGUUCCCACCUGAGAGCUGCAAUCUUUGAUCUUCUCGUCCUUGAACUCCCCUCUCCAUCACUGGGAAGCUGUUGCUAACGUUCAUCUCUUCCAGAUUUGAAAUCAGAACACUUUGUGUGGUGUUUUAUGUCCAGUUGCUAUUGUGAACACACAGAACUCAUAGCAGAUGCAGAAGGCAGGCUCUACUGAUUCUGGUAGGCGUCCUACAAGGGACCCAGAGCUGGGGAAGGCAUGGAAGCCAUGCAGCCCAGCAUGCGGGACUCGACAGGCAAGAAUCUGGCCAUUGUUGUAAAUGUAGCCUCAAGCUUGAAGUCUGCAUUCCUGGAAGGUGGCAGUGACCUCCCUGUAGCCCCAAAUGCCAUCGGGGCAGGGGGCUCAAAAAGUCUGACACACAUUUACAACUUAAGUUCGUUCUUGGACUUCUGUGCUUGCUGAGCAAGAAACUCUUCUCUGGGCUCCAAAUUAUAGAGCUGAUGUCCAAUUUAGGUUGAUAUGUAACCUUUUCCAUAAGUGUCACUAUGUGAAAGCAGCUGACUGCUUUGUGGAACAGAGGUCCAGGCUUGUGAGAGGCGACAGACUGGCCUCUGCAGACACGGCGUCCAGCGUCCUCAGCCAUGGCCAGUGUAUGGUUGAGGCUUCCAAAAAAGCAAUGCAGUGAAGGUUUUAAACUUCCUUAAUCCCAAAAAGGCCGCAAAAGAAAUGACUAAAGCUGAGUCCAUUCCACGAUUGAAAUCAGGAGUUUAUUGUUACUUCCUUCUGGAGUCUUAGCCCACUCUGAGCAUAUACUGAAAGAUUUCCUCACCGUUAACUCACUGUUAAAGGUGAUCUCUUUUAAAUCCUGAAACCCUGUCAGUAAGAAACAGGUUGAAAGUCUUGUCACAACAGCCAAUGCUCAAAACUGCCUGGUCCCACUGUCCCCAGGGCCUCCCCACCACUGCCCAGGCAGUGCAGCCAGGCCUUCGGUGACAGAGGCCACAGCUCACCACUGCCACACGGGAGACCUGGCUGCCGUGGAUGAAGCCCACUCCUCUCUCUGCCCAGUGAGCCAAAGCCACAUGCCCAGCUCCAAUGACACUGCCAAGAGUGGUCUACCAUGGUUUGGUGGGUGGGGGUGGUGGUCAGGGAGCAGACGGUAAAAUACUUCGUUCCUUUGGAUUAUAAUAGCUCUUUUUCCUCCUGCAGCAAAUACCUGUUGGCAUUUGUGGGUAAGAACUCGCAAAGCGUGUCACUUAGCAAUUUCCCCGACACACACACACACACACACGCACACACGUGUGUAUGUAUAUUUUAUAACUACAAACUGUUCAUUUCCAGAUAAAAACCUAGUUCCAAUCCAGCAGAUGCUCUUGUAACUCAAGCCCACCUUCUCAGAAAAGUUUUUGAUCCGAUCGCAGAAGCUGGUUUACCCACCCCGUAGAUGAAUACAUUCUGCUUUUGGGCAGCCCUCAUCAGAACCGGAUGCCAAUGUCCUCAUACCAGGCAUGGAACGUGCUGGAGGCAGGAGACAGCCUUCAGCGUUCCCAAGGAACACUCUGGAAACCCAUUCAUGCCCCGUGUCCUUGCACAUCGGGAUGAACACUGAAAUGGGGCCCUCGCAUGUCCACGUCAUUCCCCACACUGCUGACCAACAGCCCACAGUCCUGUUCAAUUUUAGGAAAAGGUAGAAUUUAUUUGUAAACUCAGGAUAUUGUUUUGUAGCCUCACCUGUGCUUUAUAAUUUAUGUAUACAUCACGGUUGGAAAUGCUUUCCAAGUGUUAUGCAUUGAAGCCUAGGUGAGGGCAUCUGUGGCUGUCCUAGCCCCUCCUCUCAUGAGGUCUAUAACAGAGACACAUGGGCCCCAGAGGGGGAAAGAUAAAUAAAUCAGGAGGGCAGGAUUAGGAUCCAGUCCUCAAGCUAUCUGGCUUCGUGCAACAUCUAAGCUGUUUCCAUAGCGAGUGGCUGAAGGGAAAAGGUCCCAUCACUUUGAAUAUGAUGAUAAUGGGCUUGGAAAUCAGCCUCCACAGGCCUGGGUGGGAUUUCUGCAAAAUUUCUGUGAAAAAUAUGGACAGUAUGAGGUCCCCAGAGUCCCCUGAGACCCCCACCCACCCACCCCUCAGGUGCAACCAGAGUUCUUCACCUUGGAUGCAUUAGUACCUGUUUGUUCUGGAGAAACCAAAGCACUUUAGUGGAUUUUACAACCUGUAAUACUUAAGGCAUCAGGUCCUCUCCUCAGUCUGAGAGGUGGAGAGGGGCUGGGGUCAGUAGUCUCAUUGGAGAAGGAGCUCUAGCCUGGAGCCAGGGGUAAGGACGCUGGGCCAGGCCUGGUUCCCUCCCUCGCUAUGCAACUUGGGCUCCCCAGGGGGAGAUUGGGGUUCAAAACAGCUGCCCUUCUGGGACAGUGUAGAGAGAAAGUGCUAUCAGUGAUGGGAAGUGCUUUGACGAAGUGCUCCAUGCGGGAGCUGGGGAUGAUCCUUUAGAGAUGAAGAAACAAGUCAAGAGGCAGCGAUUGGCCCGAGUCCGCAGAAUAGUUUUUAGGGUGGAACGUGACCCGAGUCCAGAAUCUCGGGCUCUUCCCAGGAGGUGCUGGGUGCACCAGGUGUGUGAACACGUGGACGCACAUCAUGCCCCUGUACUGGCGUGCAUGUGCGUGUGUGUGCGUGUGUGUGCGCCCGGGGCGUAGAUGGAUGCAUGUGUACAGAAGGUAUGUGGCAGGAUGGAAGAGCAGAGGGCAGAAAAUAGGACUUCUGAUCCCAGUGGCGUCAGGAGUCCUGUGGCCGUGGAUCCGUGACCAAACUUCUCCGGGACUCUGUUUUCAACUCUGUAAAAUGGGCACAUUGUGCUACAUGAGCGUGGUGGUUCCUGCCGCCUAGUAAUGUAUGUAUGUAUAUAUAAACCUGCUUAUCUGUAGACGCGGGCCAACUUGGAAAUGGGACACGAGGCCUGCCGAGUCACUCAUCUGUGUGAGAAACGGCCGAUUCACAACAAGGUCACAGAAUCUUGAUUUAAAAUUCACUGGUAGUAUUUACGAUCAUGGUUUUAAAUUCACUGUUUUAACUGGAUAAAGGAUUGGUGCCGUCUUAAAGAUCAAGUUCUUAGCUUAUAAGUGUUUGCUGUUAAAACUUUUUAAAUAAAGUUCAUUUGUCGAAGGCUGAAAUCCCAACUAUUCUGUACUUGGGCAGGUCCCAACAGCCUCUUUGCAAACAGGCUGGGUUUUGUGUCUGCGUCCAUACAUUGCUGUAUCAAAGCUAGCCGCUGGCUCGAUCCUGAUAACCAUGAGCAGGCUACCUGGAGAACAGUCUGGAAGAGAAAGUUCUAGUUCUCACAAACUGAUGACGAACCCAUUAAGCUGUGUGCCAUUUCCAGUGUGAAGACGUUGUUUGCUGGCGACGAUCUCUGACUUUUUGUGGCAUAUGAGGUGUAAAAUGUUGUCAAAAAGAAUCUGGUGUUUAAAAAGAAGCAAACUAUGGUGGCAUUAAAUGUUCACUUCUAUUC